ACAAGAAAUAAAUAAAUAAAAAUUAUAAUAAAAAUUUCUAAAGUCUCAUUUGGAAUAAAGGACUAAAAGCAAACUCCUAACAUUGAUUUCAUGAGUGCGAUGUUAAUGCAGCAGUCAGCAAUAAUUAAAAGAAAAUGCCACACCGGUCACCUUUAUAUUAAUAACUCUUGAUACGGCAAGUUGUUUGCCAAGACACACAUGUGUAUGUCUAAAUUGUUGAGAGCUUAAGCAUAUAACAUACAUAUAUAUGCACUCAAAUGAAAUGAAAUACAUAGCAAGCAAACAUUUAAGGCAAGUGCAAUUACCGUUUACGGAAUACAAUAUCAACAACAAUAUUCAAAUUAUACGAGUUUUUCUGAUGAAUCACUGACUGAGCAGAUUUUGUGCUUUCAGCGUUCUUGGCGUCAAAACAAACUACGAUCGGAAUAUAUUAAAAAUAAACAAAUCAAAAUGCAAAUUGUAUGUGCACUUGGUAUGUAUACAUAUAUACAAUACAUAGGUAUAUACUAGUAUGUGCAUACACAUCCCACACACCAUAUGUAUUAUACGUUUUGCCAUUUGAAUGGAAUUAAGUUAUAUUUGACGCUAUAAACACCAUAUGCGUUUUAAAGAAAGGAUAUUUUUAACACUUCGGAGACUCUUAUACCAUAUGACGAGGCUUAUAAGAACACACAUACAUAUAGGCAGAUGUAUGUUCGAUUUUACUAUUUUCUUGAGGAACGGGGAUAAUUAAAUAAACCAUAUGCAAUAGAUCUCAAUACAACAGUAUGACCGGUUCGUUUGGUUUGCGCCAAUCACCGUGGGAUAAGAAUCCUUGAGAAAAAAAUCCAAUUUUCAUCGAUUUCAAAUCACAGUAAAGAACUCACUCUACGCCGUUAUGUCUGAAUUUGAUAUCCCCGCAAAACUUAUACGGCUGUGUGAACUGACGCUGGACAACACUGGGAAGCACAGUCAGAAUUGAAUGGGACCUCACCAUUCCGUUCGAUGUCAAACGAGUUUACAGACCGUGCCCCUCUUUUUCCGUGUAAUCUUUUCAAUUUAUUGCUGGAGAAUAUAACAAAAAUGGCAUAGUUAAAUAGGCAUUGUGGCCUUAACAUUCACCGGUCUGGUGGUGAACAGGGACAAGACAAAAUAUCUCCUGUCAUUCAACAGUCAUCGCACUAGCGACUCGGCUCUCAUUUCACUGUUGACAGUCAUAAUUUCGAGAUCGUAAAUCGGUUCGUCUAUCUAGAGACCAGCAUUAACACCAACUAU